rnacentral:misc_RNA from 1 species
UCAAACCACCCAAGAUCACAU